AACGAACGCUGGCGGCAGGCUUAACACAUGCAAGUCGAACGGUGAUCUUGGGAGCUUGCUCCUGGGUGAUCAGUGGCGAACGGGUGAGUAACACGCGAGUAACCUGCCCCUGACUCUGGAAUAACUUCGGGAAACCGAAGCUAAUACCGGAUAUGACACAGAGCCGCAUGGUUUCUGUGUGGAAAGUUUUUUCGGUUGGGGAUGGACUCGCGGCCUAUCAGCUUGUUGGUGAGGUAAUGGCUCACCAAGGCGACGACGGGUAGCCGGCCUGAGAGGGCAACCGGCCACACUGGGACUGAGACACGGCCCAGACUCCUACGGGAGGCAGCAGUGGGGAAUAUUGCACAAUGGGCGAAAGCCUGAUGCAGCGACGCCGCGUGAGGGAUGAAGGCCUUCGGGUUGUAAACCUCUUUCAGUAGGGAAGAAGCGCAAGUGACGGUACCUACAGAAGAAGCACCGGCUAACUACGUGCCAGCCGCCGCAGUAAUAC
rnacentral:rRNA from 1 species